AAUAGUUCGGUUAUAGUUCUCAGCAAGGUUUAUUUUCCCGCCUUUGUCUUGUGUACUGAGCUGUAGCUAGUAGUGAAAAUAUUAAACGUUAAGACUGCAGGUUUCCAUUUAAAUUGUAUCACUGAACUCUCCUUUUUUUCUUUCUUUUGGUUUUUUGUUUUGUUUUUUUUUUUCCUUUAAAGAAUUUGGAUUGUCAAGAAUUCACGAGGAUGAGCCGGUUUUUUCCUCUUUUAUUUGUCUCUGUUCUGUGUAUGAACAGCUUCUCGGGAGUGCAGGGAAGGAAAUGGAAAGGUGAAGGUACUACUCAAAACCUGGAAAGUAUUGUCAUUGGAAGAUGCUAUAAUUAUAUAAGAAUUGUGAACCCUGCUGUUGGUGAGAAGAAUUGUUCACAGAUAUGGGAAGCAUUUAAAAAUGCAUUUAUUAACAAGGAUCCUUGCAACAUUCUACCUAAGGAUUAUGAAUUAUUUAUCAAUCUCACAUUGCACACAAUUCCACCUAACAAGUCUCUUUUCUGGGAAAAUAAUCAGCUAUUAGUCAAUAGCUUUGCUGACAGAGGACGUCGCUAUAUGUCUCUGGGUGAUACUCUGUUUGGCUUCAUUGGAGAUUUUCUGAACUGGUGUGGGCAGGCAGACAGCCCUGGACUGGACUAUGAAUCCUGCCCAACCACGUUGGAAUGUGAGAACAAUGCAGUGGAAUCUUUCUGGAGGAUGGCCUCAAUCACUUAUGCACAGCACAGUUCUGGGGUGAUACAGGUCUUGCUGAAUGGUUCUGCAGAGGGAGGAUCUUAUCCACAGCCAGGUUUUUUUGCAGAUUAUGAAAUACCUAAUCUCCAUAAAGGCAAAAUCUCACAAAUUUUCAUUUGGGUUGUGGAUGAUCUUGAAGGACCAGAUCUAGAGUCCUGUGGAAUUCAGAGUGUAAAGACAUUAGAAACCAGGCUGAAAACUCUUGGUUAUGAUGUUACUUGCACUGACAAUAACAAGUCUGUAAUGUUCUUACUCUGCCUGGAUAAUCCUGAUAAUUCUAAGUGUGCCCUUGCAUCCACAUGCAAAUUUUUGUUUGUUAAUAUCUGUGUGAUACUGCAAUGAUAAAUUCUGCUAUGAAAAUCCUGAUACACUGUCCCUGAUUAUGGCAGCAGAGAGAUGCAACUCCAGCUUGCCUGCCUCUGGGAGGGGCUGUAGUGCUUCAUGCAUUACAGAAAAGGAGGUUUUAAAUAAUUUUCCUCAAAGUUUUGUGAUGUGGAUAUGUUACUCAGCUGAGGAAACCUGGAUAAGAAGGCUUUUGGAAACCAUUCAUGUGUUUUUCCUUUCAGCUAAGGGGUGAGCAUGCAGUUCUGCAGUAUUGCCACAUGGCGUUUGCAGUGUGUAAGCAGGGGAGCAGCCACCUCUUCCUUUCCAUCCAAGUCACUACUCAAAGUAACAUAAUCCCUGGUGUAUUUGAAACACACUCUCACACUCUCCUGGGGUAACUCCUGAGCAAUUCAGCUGUGUUCAUUCUCAUGUCUCUCCUUAGGAAAAUUUUCUAGCUUGUUUUCCUUCAUGAGCACUGUAUUCCAUCCUUUAUGCAUGGCACUGUAAUAACUUUGAUUAAUUUCCUAUCUAUCCCAAAUCACAGUAGAACUUCCCAAUCUGAAUGCAAAACUAUCAUUUCCUCUCCCUGAAAUUUAAGUAACUUAAAUGCUACAAGUGAAUUAAUACUUACAUUCUUCCCAAAAUCACUUAAUUCUCUGCAGUAAAUAACACCACCUCCAUUGAAACUAGCUGGCUUUUCAGAAAGAACCUUAAGCAGAUGCCUAUAAAUGAUUUGAUGAUUAUCUUCUUAGGUACCUUUUCUGUGUGGAUGGAUCCCUGUUCUGUGAUGGUCCAUUCACUGGCAUGGGGGCAGUUUGGUCAGUAGGGGUUUCACUAAUUGGAGUGGGUAUCUGUUAGGGAAAGUUUCCUUGGCACAGUAGGUGUUCUCAGUGUUCAUAUUUCCAUAGUAAACAGUGCAACAGACAGGCAGGGUCUCAUGCAUCCCCUUUCACGUGGGCUGUGUGCUAUUAAAGGGGUGAUAGCUGCCCUCUCAGCCUCCAGAGAAAAAUAUCCUGAGCCCAAAAACAUCAGAGUUGGACAAAGUGACUUUUAUGUCACCACAACUCCUGUUACACUGGCAGAGCAAAGGAGAGGUCUACUACCCUGGGUCAGGGUAGGAGAAGGAUGGCUUAGAAGGUGCUGUGAUGUACCUGGGGCUUCUUGCAUGGUGGUGGUGGCCCUUAACUCCUCUCCAGAUUUGAACGAUGUUCCUGCUGAGUCAAAUUUGGACUUUGGCUUGUUACGGUGACACCCUGAUAUUAGGAAAAAACUUGUAAGUAAAAAAUACCCGCUAGAUGGCAGAGAUGGCUUACAAAUGUAAGCAGGAAGGAAGCCAGAUGCAAGCUGUUAGUGAUAGUAUUUAUUACUUGCAUUAUUGCAAUGACAGGGGGACGUAGAAGUGGAUCUGAAUACUAUUGCACCAAGUGCUGUGAAAAUACAGUCCUCCAGGACCGCUGCUGUCUACAAGAGCACUAUAAAAUCACAAGCAUAAGGCCAGAGACAGCAAAUGGAUGCGGGGAGACAAGAAAGCUCUUGUGCUAAGGUAGAAAGAGUUCCCAGGGUUUUGCAAGGAUGUUCUGUUUAUAGAAUCAUGACAGCCAAAUGGAAUCUGUUGGCAGGCUCAUAUAAAAAAACUUCUAGCUUAGCACUUGGGCCACAAACUUCACCCUUGGCAACAAAACCCCUGAUAUUUAAAAGAAUCCUAACUCAGCUUUGUGCUGUGAACAUCCUGUUUGUUUUCUCUUCUUCAGAUCUGCACCAGCAGCACAAAGAGGACCUAUAUCUUCAGACAGAGGAGGCAGCUGGAACAAGCUCAUGUUUGUUUCUUUUGCAGGCUUUUUGUUCAGAUUUGCUUUAGUGUACUAAGUUAAUCAACUGAAUCCAUAACCUCUGUUUGCCUUAGCUGGCUAUAAAUUUGGCUUCAACUAAUUUCUAACAUCAGUCUCACCCUACUUUUGGGACUGGCAAACUUGCAUAUUAAAACCUUACGUACUAGAUACUGGCUUCUUUUAGUAUCAAAAAUUAUCCCACUGCUGCUAGGAAGCCUCACCCUUCAUUUUAUUUUCUCUUCUAGAAGUAGUUCAUUGCUAUUUCCUUGUAUCUUUAUUCUCCAGAAUUAAACUGAGAAUAAUACUUCCUGUUCACAUACUUCAGAAAGAAAGAUGAUACUAUGCCUGUCAUACAUCACCCACAGGGAUUACUUGUUUGUAAAACCAUCCUAACAUCUGACCUUGGGAACUAAGUGACUGAUUAUCAUGUUUUGGGAAGGUGAAACAUAAAUUCAAGUAGGAGAGAUCUUAGAUUGCUCACUUGAUACAAGAUGAAAUAGGUAAGACAGUGGAAAAUAAACUUAUUUUCAUAAGUGGUCCAGUACUUGGGCCAAACUUAAACCAGGGUACGCCAAGAUUCUGGCUGCAUACUUGCACACAGUAUUUUACCAUAUAAUAUCAAUUGCUUCAUCAUCCACACAGUUGUUCCUCAGAUGGCUGUUUCCUGGACACUGGAUAGCAAAUAGUCAGAAAUACCAGGUCUAGAAAGUUCCACUGUUUUUCCACCAUGAUGUGAUUUAUGGUAUAUCAAAUUCAGAGAAGAACCUGCCAAGUCAGACAUUGGCCUGCUUGCAGUGAACUCGGAUAGCAGGGUUCAGAACACACUGAGGAGAGAGCAGAUGCCAUCCUGAAGGUUUCUUGGGUUACUUGUGUGAAUUCCAGUGCUCCAGCUAGAUGCCCCUCUAAACCACCAAGACAUCCAGCAAGAUGGCACAUAAAUCUCCAGAAAAAAAAAAGGUCGUUCUACUAGAGAAUAACUUCAUAUACAUAUUUUUUGCACAUUUUGUGUUAGCUUCUGUAUUAUUUAUUUCUGUUUGUAUUGACUGGUUGCCAGGAAACUUAGAGAGGAUGUUCUGUUAUCUCAGUGAAUCUGAUUAAAGGGUCCACAAUAGAUUUAUAUCCUUUCAAUCCCUGAUCAUGUUAUAUGUUUGAAAGAUAAAAUAUUUAAAUAAUGUUGCAGUUGCUUCUUUGUCUUUCUUCCAUGCCUGUAAUAAUCUUUACUUUUGGUUUUAAUGCAAAUCUCUUUACAUUGAACACAUAUUUGGGUUUGCCUAUGUCACAGGUGGGUUUAGGCUCCAGCUUGAAGGAUUUUUGUGUCUAUUUCAGACACAAAAAAGUACUGGAAGUACAAAAGUACUGAAAUCAGAAGUAAUAGGCCUUUGAAAAUCUGAGCUAUAUUAUGCCUCAAAAUUGUUCCCUAUCUGUGCUGUAACUUUAGUCUUUUGAUUAGUUCCUUGAACAUCCUAUUCAUUUUAUUGGUUUUUUUUAAUCAUGUAUUAUUUUUUACAGCGGUCACCAGAGUAGUAAGAAAGGUAUCUGUAACACAGUCACAUCUCAGAUAGCUAAAGCCAAGCAAUUUUGAUCCAUCUUCUAUUUGCCCACAACAGAUCCUAUCACGACACAUUUUGGGCCACAGGCUGUAGAGACAGUGUGUGUGAGGCUCUCAGGUGUUCCAGCCAUCACCAGGCUGGUGUGUUCUACUUACUGACCUGUGUGAGAUCCAGAGAACAGCUUCAUACCAUUAACCAGCCAUGUGCCUCUUAGGCAACUUCCAACCACAAACCAAGCAUCCCAGCUGGCCAACUUUUGCUUUCCAGCUUAUGAAAGCUUUCCAGCCUCUGCAUGUAAUUGACUCCAGAAACACAGUCAGUGAUGGCAGUUACAGUACCAAAUACUCUGUAGAAAGUGCUAAAUAAUUCUGUAUUGAAAAAGAAAAAUAAUUUAAAUACAGAGUAAAAUACUAAAAUUCAAACAACUGAGGUUAUUUAAUGCAUUACCUUAUGUCAAGAACAACACACCUCUUGCAGUGUUUUCUUAUUUCUAAUGUUCUUUACUCUUCCCAUUACUUCAACUCAGUAGCAAAGACAGCAAUUUCUUUUCUAGUACCUGUUCAGUAAAGUGUCUCAAACUUGCUUAAAAAACUUGGAAAGAUCUGUAAAGAUUUUUAGCUAACCAACUAAUAUAGCUAAUAAAAAAGAGCAACAAGGCAAGGUUCUAGAUGCAUAGGUUUCCUGAGAGCUUAGAGGCAGCAAAUUUCAAGCUGAGUGUGAAUCAUUUGUUCUGACUUUAAUAUAAUGGUUUUAAUCUGUGCAAAAGACCAGUGGGACUGGUGUCUCGGAAGCUGUGGGGCAGAAG